rnacentral:rRNA from 1 species
UACGUAGGGUGCGAGCGUUGUCCGGAAUUAUUGGGCGUAAAGGGCUCGUAGGCGGUUUGUCGCGUCGGGAGUGAAAUCCACUGGCUUAACUGGUGGCUUGCUUUCGAUACGGGCAGGCUAGAGUUCGGCAGGGGAGACUGGAAUUCCUGGUGUAGCGGUGAAAUGCGCAGAUAUCAGGAGGAACACCGGUGGCGAAGGCGGGUCUCUGGGCCGUAACUGACGCUGAGGAGCGAAAGCAUGGGGAGCGAACAGGA